CUGCUGCAUCAUUCAUGCAGGUUUUGUGCAGAGGGCAAUGAAAGCCUGAACUCCAGAAUCAACUGCAGAGAUGAAAGAAGACACCAAAGGGACAGGUGGGCGUUCCCGAUGCAGCUGAUUGCUCUCAGGUGUGAGAGCCUGAGUCCAUAAGGAGCUGCGUGACGACCACUCGGUGUCUGAUGGCCGAUCUGAACUGGUGGAAUCAAACCAAACAUUCAGGCUCCAUGUUGUUUUCUCUGUUUCUUUAGAUCGGCUCUGGAAAAUGUCUUACCAGAGUUAAUACAGUUUAUCUAUACUGUGCCAAUUCACAACAAAUUAUGUGUCAAACCACAUGGAGCUGUUAUACAAGAAAAAUGAGAGAAAAUAUAAAGCUUGCAUAUAUAACAGUAAAUAAUGGAAGUUGUAGAAGAAGAAAGUAGCAGAUUGCAGAUAGCACUGAUUGCAGUUUUCUGGCCGAUUACCGAUCUUUAAGAAGCCUGACCUGCCGAUUCCGAUUUUAUACCAUUUUUUGGGGGGGCUGAAAUGUUGCUACAUAUGGCGAGAAAGUUGCUGAAUUGGCAACAGUGGAGCAACUAAAGUACAGACAUGAGCUGGUGGGUCAGUCUGUCAAACAGUGGAUGAUUUUUCCACCUGAUCAGAUCGGCUUCAUAUUCAAGUAUCGGCCGAUCACCGAUCUCCCAAACUGAAGAAAAUUAACCAUCUAUCCAAAACACAUCCUUACUUUCUGAAGCCUUCUGCUUCCUCCACAUCUCCAGUGUCCAUUAAACCAACACCAAAGUCUCCAUAUUUCCCAGUAAGAAGCUCAGCCUCUGGUCGUUGCCUGCAGCUCCGUCUACCUGUGAAUUCCUCUCCCACACAUCACCUGACAACAAGCAGGUGAUGCAUCUCCUCUGGAUCAACAACUUCACUUACCUCUGAACCAACAGGAUCUUCCACCUCUGCGCUGUUACCUCUCAUAAGCCGGCUCUGAUCUCAUCCUCAGAACAUUUCCUCCAUUAUUCCUGCCGCUUCGCUAACAUCUCUUCCUCUCAUCCUUUCAGACGAACUGACCUUGCCAAAACAGAUUCCUGUUAUUUAUUUAAUAAAUGUCCAAACCUUA